GCCAGGGUGGCGCAGCUGGCUAGCGCGCACCCCUCAUAAGGGUGAGGUCGCCGGUUCGAUCCCGGCCCCUGGUA
rnacentral:tRNA from 1 species